rnacentral:lncRNA from 1 species
AUGGAAUUUAGGUUCACAGACAACACGGAGAAGUCACAUGCGAUUACAACAGUACCUUUCAUGCUGACAAGUGACAGGGUAGCUAAUCCUAGUCCCAUCCAUGCCCUAGCUACAUCCCUUUCAGACUGUUCAGAAUUACCACUUGCUGAGAAACUACUUAAGCCAGCCUGCCGUAUGGUAACAAAAGUGAACAAGAUAGGGAGACAACAGCAUUUCGUGGCCCUACUAAAUUGUGUCAUUAUUCUCAAGUUGGUCUUAUUCCAUGCCUUACAAGCUCCCAGCUGGGUCACGCUGCCCAUAUAUGUGUACUUCCAUAGUGGGCAGGCAUGGCCAUUCUAAAAGCAGCAGCAUACUUACACUAGUGCCUUUGAUUACCCAAAUAAAUGAUAUUCAAAUAUAAUUUUUAACGAAACUCAUUAUAAUGGAGAUGUGGCCAAAAUAGCCACAGAUAGGAAGACCCUGAGCUCACCUCCUCCUACAGGCACACCAAAAUUACAAAAGGGAAACUACUGAUGAGAAAAGCUGAAGACUAGCAGCAAAUAUUUUCAAUCAAAUAUCCAGAAAAGGAACUGUAACAAGACAUGUAAGAGGGCCUGUGAUGCGAUAUAGCUAAAACUCAUAGCCCCAGGUGAAUGACCCACAAAUGGGAGGAUACUUAAAGUUGCAGAGGUUCUCCCAUGGAGUGAGUGGUCCAAGCCCCACAAUGGGCUCCCCAGCCCAGAGAAUCCUGCACCAGGAUGGGCCCUUAGAACAUCUGGCUUUAAAGACCAAUAGGGCUUACUUCUGGGAGAGCCAGAGGACUGUGGGAAACAAAGACCCCCACUCUUAAAGAUGCACACAAGCCCUCACAUACUCCAGGACUCUGGCCAGAAGCAGCAAUUUGAAAGGAGCCUGAGUCAGAUCCACCAUCUGAUCCUGGAGUUUCCUGGUGAGGCAGGAGGCAACUGCAGCUUGUCCUGGGAACACAGACACUGGCACAACUAUCUUUGGGAACUUGUUCUAUCACAUGAACACUGGUGCGGGCAAGUGCCAUUUUGGAGUCCUCUCUCCAGCUUAUUAGCUUCAGGAUCCAGCCCCUCCCACCAGCCUCUUGGCAUCAGUAUUGGGAUGCCCAGGCCAAGCAACUAACCAGGUGGAGAAACAGUCCCACCAACAACAGGCCUGCUGCCUUAUGAUCCCGAGCCCAUAGUCAACCCAGGACCUGGCUAUCUCUACCAGAGGGCUCG